GAUGAAGAACGCAGCGAAAUGCGAUAAGUAAUGUGAAUUGCAGAAUUCCGUGAAUCAUCGAGUCUUUGAACGCACAUUGCGCCCCCUGGUAUUCCGGGGGGCAUGCCUGUCCGAGCGUCAUCUCAACCCUCGAGCCCCCCCGGGGGCUCGGCGUUGGGGACCGGCCCCGCCCCAGGGCGCGCCGCCCCCCAAAUCCAGUGGCGGUCCCGCCGCAGCCUCCCCUGCGCAGUAGCUUGCACACUCGCACCGGAGAGCGGCGCGGCCACGCCGUAAAACCCCCCGACCACGGAGCCCCGGCUCCUGAACGUUGACCUCGGAUCAGGUAGGAAUACCCGCUGAACUUAAGCAUAUCAAUAAGCGGAGGA
rnacentral:misc_RNA from 1 species